AGAACCUAUUAGGGUUUCUUGGGAAGAAGGAGCUUCCAGCGGCUAUAAAAGAGGGGUAUCCUCUACCAAUUAUCUCAACCACAUCCAGAGAGAGCAAGCUUCACCUCUCAUCCUUGGAACCCUUCAAUUUCUAGCCAUAUUCCUCCAUCUCUUCCCAUCUUCUCCUCUGGCAAGCUAUUCCAAAGCCUGACGAAUCCUACGUUAAGUUGCUAAAAAUUACCCAAAGCACCCAUUCUUCCAUCCUAAUCUCUGUCUCUCUCUGUCUCUCCUUAGCAAAUCCUCAUGAAACCCUUUGCUUUAACCUCUGUUUGUUGUAGAAAACCUGGUCCUUCUCUCUCUCAUGCUAAACUCAUGAAUACUUAGCUUCCAUGCC
rnacentral:lncRNA from 1 species